AUAACCAACGUUACACGGGAUACAUCGCUGGUGGAUAUACGGAAGAGGAGGACGCUGUCUUCUAUGCUGGACUCUGGUCACAAUGGUUGAGCGUCAGACCUACGUGAAGCUCAGUGAAGAGAAACUGAUACCAAAGUCGCACAUAUUGUCACUGCUUAGGACCUACAACUGUUACCAUGAAGGAAAGAAUUUCCAACUGCGGACCCGCGAGGUAAGA